GGGCGAGUGGCGGAAUUGGUAUACGCGACAGACUUAAAAUCUGUUGACCAAAAGUCUUGUGGGUUCAAGUCCCACCUCGCCCACCA
rnacentral:tRNA from 1 species